rnacentral:rRNA from 1 species
AUGUACAACACGUAUGCCGGCAAGAUUGGGUUUAGUAUCAGAAAGAGCCAGAUAAAGCGCCGCCAAGAUCGAACUAUAUCCCAUAAAUAUAUAGUUUGCAGUAAUCAGGGAGAACGAGAAACCGAGUCAUCAAAGGCCACUACAAGAACAGGUUGUCAGGCUCGUGUUCAAUUUAGUGUCAGUAGAGAGGGGAUUUGGACAGUGCAAAAGGUUGUAACCGAUCACAAUCAUUAUCUUGCUAGUCCCAAUAAGUUACACAAGCUGAGAUCCCAACGACGUGUUGUAGAAGCGGACAGAGCGCUAAUUGGCCAGAUACGUGAAGCUGGGAUGAAGCCAUCUCAGGUGUAUGAUUUCAUGGUAGCGUUCUAUGGAGGAGUCGACAAAGUGCCAUUCUCAAAAAUGGAUUGCAAUAAUGAUAUUGGUAAGGAAAGGAAGAAGUAUUUAGAAUCCAAUGAUGCAAAAACACUGUUAGAAUACUUGAAGAAUAAGCAGAGGGAGGAUCCAACAUUUUUUUAUGCGAUUCAAGUAGAUGAGAAGGAUGGUCAGAUAGCUAAAUUUUUUUGGGCAGAUGGGCCAAUCUUCACAUAUAUGGUUACACAUAUGCACAGCGAGCAUGGAGAAAUAGUUGUAUUCAACAGUAUGAAUAUGACCGUUACAUGUUGCAGAAAGUUUGAAUCGAUAGGUAUGUGUACACUUUUUAUUGCAAUAUGA